rnacentral:rRNA from 1 species
AUUGAACGCUGGCGGUAGGCUUAACACAUGCAAGUCGAGCGGGGUGAUGGUGCUUGCACUAUCACUUAUCGGCGGACGGGUGAGUAAUGCUUAGGAAUCUGCCUAUUAGUGGGGGACAACAUCUCGAAAGGGAUGCUAAUACCGCAUACGUCCUACGGGAGAAAGCAGGGGAUCACUUGUGACCUUGCGCUAAUAGAGGAGCCUAAGUCGGAUUAGCUAGUUGGUGGGGUAAAGCCAUACCAAGGCGACGAUAUGUAGUGGGUCGGGGAGGAUGAUCCGCCACACUGGGACUGAGACACGGCCCAGACUCCUACGGGAGGCAGCAGUUGGGAAUAUGGGACAAUGGGGGGAACCCUGAUCCAGCCAUGCCGCGUGUGUGAAGAAGGCCUUAUGGUUGUAAAGCACUUUAAGCGAGGAGGAGGCUCUUUUGGUUAAUGCCCAAGAUGAGUGGACGUUACUCGCAGAAUAAGCACCGGCUAACUCUGUGCCAGCCGCCGCCGUAA